UACGUAGGGUGCAAGCGUUGUCCGGAAUUAUUGGGCGUAAAGAGCUCGUAGGCGGUUUGUUGCGUCGGCUGUGAAAUCCCGAGGCUCAACCUCGGGUCUGCAGUCGAUACGAGCAAACUAGAGUGUUGCAGGGGAGACUGGAAUUCCUGGUGUAGCGGUGAAAUGCGCAGAUAUCAGGAGGAACACCCGGUGGCGAAGGCGGGUCUCUGGGCAACAACUGACGCUGGAGGAAGCGAAAGCUAGGGGAGCAAACGGG
rnacentral:rRNA from 1 species